rnacentral:rRNA from 1 species
GGUUAAGCGACUAAGCGUACACGGUGGAUGCCCUGGCAGUCAGAGGCGAUGAAGGGCGUGCUAAUCUGCGAUAAGCGCCGGUAAGGUGAUAUGAACCGUUAUAACCGGCGAUACCCGAAUGGGGAAACCCAGUGUGAUUCGUCACACUAUCAUUAACUGAAUCCAUAGGUUAAUGAGGCGAACCGGGGGAACUGAAACAUCUAAGUACCCCGAGGAAAAGAAAUCAACCGAGAUUCCCCCAGUAGCGGCGAGCGAACGGGGAGGAGCCCAGAGCCUGAAUCAGCAUGUGUGUUAGUGGAAGCGUCUGGAAAGGCGCGCGAUACAGGGUGACAGCCCCGUACACAAAAGCGCAUGUGCUGUGAGCUCGAUGAGUAGGGCGGGACACGUGGUAUCCUGUCUGAAUAUGGGGGGACCAUCCUCCAAGGCUAAAUACUCCUGACUGACCGAUAGUGAACCAGUACCGUGAGGGAAAGGCGAAAAGAACCCCGGCGAGGGGAGUGAAAAAGAACCUGAAACCGUGUACGUACAAGCAGUGGGAGCACAGGUUUACCUGUGUGACUGCGUACCUUUUGUAUAAUGGGUCAGCGACUUAUAUUCUGUAGCAAGGUUAACCGUAUAGGGGAGCCGGAGGGAAACCGAGUCUUAAUUGGGCGUUAAGUUGCAGGGUAUAGACCCGAAACCCGGUGAUCUAGCCAUGGGCAGGUUGAAGGUUGGGUAACACUAACUGGAGGACCGAACCGACUAAUGUUGAAAAAUUAGCGGAUGACCUGUGGCUGGGGGUGAAAGGCCAAUCAAACCGGGAGAUAGCUGGUUCUCCCCGAAAGCUAUUUAGGUAGCGCCUCGUGAAUUCAUCUCCGGGGGUAGAGCACUGUUUCGGCUAGGGGGCCAUCCCGGCUUACCAACCCGAUGCAAACUGCGAAUACCGGAGAAUGUUAUCACGGGAGACACACGGCGGGUGCUAACGUCCGUCGUGAAGAGGGAAACAACCCAGACCGCCAGCUAAGGUCCCAAAGUCAUGGUUAAGUGGGAAACGAUGUGGGAAGGCCCAGACAGCCAGGAUGUUGGCUUAGAAGCAGCCAUCAUUUAAAGAAAGCGUAAUAGCUCACUGGUCGAGUCGG